UACGGGGGGGGCAAGCGUUGUUCGGAAUUACUGGGCGUAAAGGGCUCGUAGGUGGCCAACUAAGUCAGACGUGAAAUCCCUCGGCUUAACCGGGGAACUGCGUCUGAUACUGGAUGGCUUGAGUGUGGGAGAGGGAUGCGGAAUUCCAGGUGUAGCGGUGAAAUGCGCAGAUAUCGGGAGGAACACCGGUGGCGAAGGCGGCUCUCUGGGCCUGUCCUGACGCUCAUGCGCGAAAGCUAGGGGAGCAAACAGG
rnacentral:rRNA from 1 species